rnacentral:rRNA from 1 species
AGUGACAGAGAGCACGCUACUCGUGCCAGCAGCCGCGGUAAUACUGAGGGUGCGAGCUGUUAUCGGAAUUACUGGGCGUAAAGCGCAUGCAGGUGGUUCUUGUUAAGUUCAGAUUGUGAAAGCCCGGGGCCUCAACGUCGAGAAGUAGCAUGUGAAACUGGCAGACUAGAGUACUAUAGAGAGAGGGUAGCACUCUCAGGUGUAGCGGUGAAAUGCGUAGAGAUCUGAAGGAAUACCGGUGGCGAAGGCGGUCUCCCUGUACAGAUACUGACACUCAGAUGCGAAAGCGUGGGGAGCAACACAGGAUUAGAUACCCUGGUAGUCCACGCCGUAAACGAUGUCUACUUGGAGGUUGUGGCCUUGAGCCGUGGCUUUCGGAGCUAACGCGUUAAGUAGUCCGCCUGGGGAGUACGGUCGCAAGAUUAAAACUCAAAUGAAUUGACGGGGGCCCGCACAAGCGGUGGAGCAUGUGGUUUAAUUCGAUGCAACGCGAAGAACCUUACCUACUCUUGACAUCCAGAGAACUUUCCAGAGAUGGAUUGGUCCCUUCGGGAACUCUGAGACAGGUGCUGCAUGGCUGUCGUCAGCUCGUGUUGUGAAAUGUUGGGUUAAGUCCCGCACCGAGCGCACCCCCUAUCCUUGUUUUCCACCGAGUAAUGUCGGGCACUCCAGGGAGACUGCCGGUGAUAAACCGGAGGAAGGUGGGGACGACGUCAAGUCAUCAUGGCCCUUACGAGUAGGGCUACACACGUGCUACAAUGGCGCAUACAGAGGGCGGCCAACUUGCGAAAGUGAGCCAAUCCCAAAAAGUCCGUCGUAGUCCGGAUUGGAGUCUGCAACUCGACUCCAUGAAGUCGGAAUCGCUAGUAAUCGUGGAUCAGAAUGCCACGGUGAAUACGUUCCCGGGCCUUGUACACACCGCCCGUCACCCCAUGGGAGUUGGCUGCUAAAAUAAGUCCUGACUCAGCCAGUGGAAGCAAGCUAGCCGUAGAGUACUCCC